GCCUGAGUGGCUCAGUGGUUGAGCAUCUGCCUUCGGCUCAGGGUGUGAUCCUGGAGUCCUGGGAUCGAGUCCCACAUCAGGCU
rnacentral:tRNA from 1 species